GGUAUUAUAUUUUAAAUUAAGAAAAACUGAUUUGCAAUCAAAUAGUAAGAUAAUUCUUUAAUACCA
rnacentral:tRNA from 1 species